GACGAACGCUGGCGGCGUGCCUAACACAUGCAAGUCGAGCGAGUGGAGUUCUUCGGAACAAAGCUAGCGGCGGACGGGUGAGUAACACGUGGGCAACCUGCCUCAUAGAGGGGAAUAGCCUCCCGAAAGGGAGAUUAAUACCGCAUAAGAUUGUAGCUUCGCAUGAAGUAGCAAUUAAAGGAGCAAUCCGCUAUGAGAUGGGCCCGCGGCGCAUUAGCUAGUUGGUGAGGUAAUGGCUCACCAAGGCGACGAUGCGUAGCCGACCCGAGAGGGUGAUCGGCCACAAUGGGAGUGAGACACGGCCCAAACUCCUGCGGGAGGCAGCAGUGGGGGAUAUUGCACAAAGGGGGAAACCCUGAUGCAGCAACGCCGCGUGAGUGAUGACGGCCUUCGGGUUGUAAAGCUCUGUCUUCAGGGACGAUAAUGACGGUACCAGCAGAAGAAGCCCCGGCUAACUCCGUGCCAGCCGCCGCCGUAAGAC
rnacentral:rRNA from 1 species